GGCCGCGGGAAUUCGAUUCAGGCCUAACACAUGCAAGUCGAGCGGUAGAGAGAAGCUUGCUUCUCUUGAGAGCGGCGGACGGGUGAGUAAUGCCUAGGAAUCUGCCUGGUAGUGGGGGAUAACGUUCGGAAACGGACGCUAAUACCGCAUACGUCCUACGGGAGAAAGCAGGGGACCUUCGGGCCUUGCGCUAUCAGAUGAGCCUAGGUCGGAUUAGCUAGUUGGUGAGGUAAUGGCUCACCAAGGCUACGAUCCGUAAGUGGUCUGAGAGGAUGAUCAGUCACACUGGAACUGAGACACGGUCCAGACUCCUACGGGAGGCAGCAGUGGGGAAUAUUGGACAAUGGGCGAAAGCCUGAUCCAGCAAGGCCGCGUGUGUGAAGGAGGUCUUCGGAUU
rnacentral:rRNA from 1 species